AUUUAGUGAUAGCUGGCUUCUGAGUGAUAUUUACCUAAGCUCUCCUUUUUUAUUGGUAUUUUCCAGACUGCAAACAUAACAGAAAGUUCUGUCCAUGUGACUCCAAGAUAUUGCAGGUGACUGUCAGCUUGAUGCAGAAAUUCACUUUGUCUCACUGCAUCACAGUUUAUGAAGUACAAUGCAAAUUCUUUGGUCUUUAGGGCAUGUCAUUUCCAUGUUCAGUUUUUGAAAUUAAUUUACACCAUUGCAAGACAAAGAAAGUGGAAAUUUUCCUGCUGUCAUACCCACCUCUGUUACCAGCCUUCCCUUUCGUUUCAGCAGUGUCUAGCAGGGAGCCCUUAUCUGCAUAUGAUGUUCACAAAGGGCCUGCUGGAACAUCCAAGUCCAGUCUGCACUUGUGAAGCACCUGCUCUGCAGGCUUCUUCCUUCACCCUUGCAACUUCCACGGGACUUUUUUCCGAGGAACUCAUUUUAGCCCCAGAUCUUGCAAGCUGAGAUAUUUACACAACCUAAGCCCAGAGUCUCUGAGGAGCAACUAGGAUUACCAAACCAUUAAAUUUCAGUAAGAUGAGACUUCUCAGAUUCUAUGGAUUUUACAGCAUUUUUGCAGACUGACAGGCACUGUCAGCUGGGAGCUCAGCAUGGUUUCUCGUUCCCUGCUACCAGGUAGAUGUUCACCUGCAGCUCCAUCCGUUCACAAGUACAUGGUUCUCCUGGACGUUUUAUUGCCAAGUUCUAGAAAAAAUAAAUAUGAGAUGUCAGAGAAAAACA
rnacentral:lncRNA from 1 species